rnacentral:tRNA from 1 species
GGGGCUGUGGGCUAAUCUGGUUAUGCUGCAGCGUUCGGGACGCUGUGAUCUGAGUUCAAAUCUCAGCAGCCCCA